rnacentral:misc_RNA from 1 species
GUUUAAUAAAUUUAAAAACUAUUUAAGACGAAUUCAAAUGGUUUCUUUAGAUGCUUGGGCCUCCACAACCAUUAGUCCCCAAAAAGAGACUAGUAGUGCGUCGACCCAAAAAACAGUCUAGUUCACAGGGGUUAUUCACCACCACAAAGGACUCUUGCGAAUCAACUCGGUGGCAGUGGAAAUCAGUAAUGAUCCAACCGCAGGUUCACCUACGGUUA